rnacentral:tRNA from 1 species
GGUUUGAUAGUCUAGUAGUAUGAUUCCUUGUUAGGGUCGAGGAGGUCCUGGGUUCAAUUCCCAGUCAAGCUC